AACAGUCCAAAACCGAUUCAAGCACCAAACGACGAAUCUCUAGGUCCCAGGGUUACAUUACAGUAAAACGACGCAGUAUCUGUGCUUUGUUGCUUCUUCUUGUUUGUUACUUUGCUUUCGCCAUAAGCAGAGAUCACACGGAGCUAGAAAUCAAAAGCAGAAUAAGAAUUCGAAGAAAUUUUUUUGUGGGUUUCUAUUAGUUCACGAAUGGGUGAAACAAAGUCUGGUUUUUUUUUUU
rnacentral:misc_RNA from 1 species